rnacentral:rRNA from 1 species
AUUGAACGCUGGCGGCAGGCUUAACACAUGCAAGUCGAGCGGGGGAGGUUGCUUCGGUAACUGACCUAGCGGCGGACGGGUGAGUAAUGCUUAGGAAUCUGCCUAUUAGUGGGGGACAACAUUCCGAAAGGGAUGCUAAUACCGCAUACGCCCUACGGGGGAAAGCAGGGGAUCUUAGGACGUUGCGCUAAUAGAUGCGCCUAAGUCGGAUUAGCUAGUUGGUGGGGUAAAGGCCUACCAAGGCGACGAUCUGUAGCGGGUCUGAGAGGAUGAUCCGCCUCACUGGGACUGAGACACGGCCCAGACUCCUACGGGAGGCAGCAGUGGGGAAUAUUGGACAAUGGGCGGAAGCCUGAUCCAGCCAUGCCGCGUGUGUGAAGAAGGCCUUUUGGUUGUAAAGCACUUUAAGCGAGGAGGAGGCUCUUAAGGUUAAUACCCUUGAUGAGUGGACGUUACUCGCAGAAUAAGCACCGGCUAACUCUGUGCCAGCCGCCGCAGUAAUAC